CUUUACUCAGAGCUUGAUCUCCCAAACCGUGAGAUCGCGACCUGAGCCGAAGUCAAGAGUUGGGCGUUUAACUGAUGGUCACCUUGUCAAAUAUUGCACCCCAGCAAUAAAGUAUUUUUUAAAUGAAUAUAUGUACAUUUUUUAAAGAUGUAAUGUUACUGCACACUUAAUAGGUUACAGUUUGCUAUAAACAUAAUUUUUAUAUGCACUGGGACACCGCAAAAUUUACUUGGCUCACUUUAUUGCUAUAUGUGUUUGUUUUUUUGUUAAAUAUAUAUAGAGAGAGUGUAAGCAGAGGAGAGGGGCAGAGGGAGAGAGAGGGAGAGCAGAGAGAGAGAGAGAAUCUUAAGCAUGCUCCACACUUAGUGUGGAGCCCAAUGCGGGAUCAAUCCCACAACCCCGGGAUCAUGACCUGAGCCGAAAUCAAGAGUCAGAUGCUUAACUGACUGAGCCACAUGGUAUGUGUUUUAUUGUGGUGUUAUGAUCAAACCUGUGGUGUCUCCAGUGUUUGAGAUCUUUUUCUUCAAUGGUGUCCUACUAAUAACUGUCAUGAUAAUUCAACCCGCACAUUUUUAACAAUUUAGAACUUUAGAUUCAUAGGGAAUAAGCAAACCGACUUCAGAUUUUAAUAGGGUGAUCCAUAAGGCUUUCAAACAUGAAAUAUGAAUAAAAUGCUAUGGCAGAAGCGGAAUAGCAAUCCAAGCUGAAGGAUAAAACAUAAACGAAAGCAAAGAAUAAGAUAAACAGAAGUGUAGGAAGAAAUAAUUCUAGUAUGUUCUUCCUGUAACUCAGUAGAUCGUUUUGCACAGGUCCCAGUGCAAAUGUGCCCAGACCACUUUGGAGGGUCCCUCUGUAAUUCAGGGGGCAGGGCGCUUCUCCUGUGUGCAAGAGGAUGGGAGGCAGGCGGAGGAUGAUUAAUGACUAUACUCCUGCACGAGUCAUUGCCACGGGUUAGGUCCUCCGUGGACACUGACCUUAGAGUUAUUAGUUUGUUCUUUUUUCAGUGUAGUUACUUUUCACUGAAAAACAAAAAUGCUUUACAAAUACGAACCCAUAAAACCAAUCUUAUCUCUUCUUCCCAGAUGGUGCAAUAAAGACCUAAAAACAUCAAGGAAGGUUUCUGAAAUAUUACGAGCAGUGGAAGAAAGAGGAAGAAGAUCCUUGGGUCCUCAUUCUAGGAUUAGUAGACUGCCAUUUGUGGCUGCGGUGUGAGAAUUGCCUUUUGAAACAGGCCUGCUGAAGUCUGUCCCCGCCAGGCCUCCUGUACCCUUCACCUAGUGCCCCCGUACUUGUCAAAUAUGUCAAAAAUAGAGGGGAUUUUCAUCGAUUGUGUUGGCUCCUUCCUUCACCUCCUGGAACUCAUGUGAGGUGUGGGCGCCUGGAUACAAAGCAGACAUAGCAUAAUGGCUGUGUUCUUAGCCUGUGGCCUGCAAGGGAUCCCUGUGGCUGUGGAGACCCACAGGCCUGUCAUUGUAGCUGUCACCUGCACUCGUCACAUCCUUCAUUCUUCCUACUCCAAGGGGAUAUUCCCAUCAAGAGGAGGUACAAUGAGUACCCACGGUGACAAUGCGUGUGGACAACACGUUGCCAUCUGCCUGGGGUUGAGACUAUUGUAAUGCCUUGCAGCCAUCAUAAUAUCCAGACCCCUGCCCUGGUUUCUUCUGGAAACUGCAUAAGAAAUACAGGCAAGUCUUCGCUAACCCCAGGGCAUGAUGGCACGGUAAUUUUUUGAAUAAAUCUUAAAAUAAUCUGGUUUCCUUAUGACCCAUGCUUUCCGCCCCAAAGUCAUAAGCUAUAAAAAAUUCGGCUGGGUUUAUGUUUCUGCUUAAUCAAGGUUUACUGUCUGCCUUAAACUUGGUGCCAAGUGACAUCCGGUAAUCAUUCUUUGUUUGGAGCAUCCCAGCAGCCGAGAAGUCAAAUCCAUCAUCAAGUGACAGUUGCACUCAAAUUCCAGAAGGGAGACAAUUCAUAAACCUCUCAUCUUUAUUUAUUUUUCCCUUACCCCCAUCAGGGAAUCCUCUAGCCUGAUGCUAUUAGUAGAUAGGGCAUGACCUCCCGUACUACUGUAAUAUUUCUUCACUUGGCGUGCUUGGCGAGAAGACUCUGGAAAAAUGGAUAUGGAGAGAACAGGAUAUAUAAUUCCUGCCUUCCUAGAAUAUGUCACAGUGAUAAGUGGAUGACGAAUGCUGAUGAGUAUCGACUACUUCCUCAAUCAAGCCCUGUGUUCUGGAGUGUGUGUGUGUGUGUGUGUGUGUGUGUGUGUGUGUGUGUCUGUUGCAGCUGCUGUCUGUAGUCUAUUACUAAACCAUCAAAAUGAUCACAAACAAUCCAAGAAGAAAUUGAAACGGCAUUAGAGGCAUUGUUUUAUCCAUCUACAGUAUUAACAGUGCGGUUUAGCAAAACCACUCCUGGAAUACAUUUUGCCUUAAUAAUGUAUGAGUGGCAGUAGCUGCAAAGAAUUUCUGGAAUCAGAGUCACAGAUGUGGACAUGUUUUUUUUUUUUUUUAAUUU